UACGGAGGGGGCUAGCGUUGUCCGGAAUCAUUGGGCGUAAAGAGCGUGUAGGCGGCUUGUUAAGUCUUGCGUGAAAUCUCGGGGCUCAACCCCGAGCGGUCGUGAGAAACUGGCAGGCUAGAGUGCGGGAGAGGAGAGUGGAAUUCCUGGUGUAGCGGUGAAAUGCGCAGAUAUCAGGAAGAACACCCGUGGCGAAGGCGGCCUGCUGGGCAGUGGCUGACGCUGAGGCGCGACAGCGUGGGGAGCAAACAGG
rnacentral:rRNA from 1 species